rnacentral:rRNA from 1 species
UGCAAGUCGAACGGAUCCUUUCGGGGAUUAGUGGCGGACGGGUGAGUAACGCGUGAGAAUCUGCCUUCAGGUUCGGGACAACAGCUGGAAACGGCUGCUAAUACCGGAUGUGCCGAGAGGUGAAAGCUUAAGUGCCUGGAGAUGAGCUCGCGUCUGAUUAGCUAGUAGGAGUGGUAACGGCACCCCUAGGCGACGAUCAGUAGCUGGUCUGAGAGGAUGAUCAGCCACACUGGGACUGAGACACGGCCCAGACUCCUACGGGAGGCAGCAGUGGGGAAUUUUCCGCAAUGGGCGCAAGCCUGACGGAGCGAGACCGCGUGAGGGAAGAAGGUCUGUGGAUUGUAAACCUCUUUUGACAGGGAAGAAGACAGUGACGGUACCUGUCGAAUCAGCCUCGGCUAACUCCGUGCCAGCAGCCGCGGUAAUACGGAGGAGGCAAGCGUUAUCCGGAAUUAUUGGGCGUAAAGAGUCCGUAGGUGGGUCACCCAGUCAGUUGUUAAAGAGUGAAGCUUAACUUCAUAGAGGCGACUGAAACUGGUGGUCUAGAGUGUGGUAGGGGUAGAGGGAAUUUCCAGUGUAGCGGUGAAAUGCGUAGAUAUUGGAAAGAACACCGGUGGCGAAAGCGCUCUACUGGGCCUGCACUGACACUGAGGGACGAAAGCUAGGGGAGCGAAAGGGAUUAGAUACCCCUGUAGUCCUAGCCGUAAACGAUGGAUACUAGGCGUUGCCCGUAUCGACCCGGGCAGUGUCGUAGCCAACGCGUUAAGUAUCCCGCCUGGGGAGUACGCUCGCA